UAGGAGCGAGGCUUGCCCGCGAUAGCCACGACGCGGUUUGCCUGAGACACCUCAGGUUUUCCAUCGCGGGCAAGCCUCGCGCCUA
rnacentral:misc_RNA from 1 species